rnacentral:lncRNA from 1 species
UUUCCUUUCUGAAUCACUAGGGUAGUGUGACCUGUGACAAGUCAGACUGUGCCGAUGUGAAUCCAUGAAAAGCGGCCCUUGACUGGACCUGGGGCUGUGGGGCACAGCUCUCCAGAGUCCUGGGUUAGAAGUAUCCUGGAUGCACCCAUGUCGAGAGUGGUAAUGUGCUGGUUUCAUAAGAUAGUUGGCGUUGUUACCCGGGCAGAGGCUACAUUUCUGGUUGAGCAUGGUCGUCUCGGGGCGUGCAUGUGUGCACCGUGCAGGGCCUGUCUGGUCAGGAGCAGACUUCAUGGCAGGUAUGUUACCUGGCUCUCGUCUGAGUUGCUGAAAGAUGAGCUGAGAGCCCAGUGCUAAAGAAGGAAGAAAAGAACAAGCAAACAAACAAACAAAAAACAGGAAACAAACUUGACUGGCAUAGUUUAGGACUGGUCAGAUUUGGUCACCAGUAUGAAGUCAACUCCUCUUGUCCGCGUGUCCUCCAUUAAAUUACCCUUCUAAAAUUACCCUUCCUAGUUAGACCCGCAUGCUUCAAGGAAAUGAUGCACCUGAGGCGUUGGGAAGGCGCUCACUCCCAUGCACUUUUCUGGGGAGAGUUCAUGGAAGGCUGCCUAGAGGGACACGUGCUGGCAGUACGGAGCACGACUUCUUAAGAGAGUUGUUGAGUCCGUGGCUUUAUGGGAUAUUGUAUGAUGAUCAGAGUCAAUCAAACGGCUCCUCACGUUCUUGUUUACUAAGUAGGGGAGCAGUUUUCUGUUGAAAUUUCAUGAACUCCCAUUUUCUCUGCCUUAAGGUAAUGAGGACUUCUCAAAUGCUGGAUCAAGCUCAAGCACAUUAAACAUUGUCACUCAGGAAGUCACUAAAAUUUCCAAGUGUCUGGAAGGGUCUCACCCCUCCCUCAUUGCUGGUGUUUUGUGUCUCCGUGUAAUAACAGAAAGCUCUUCUGUGUUACAUAGCCAUGGUGGGUUGGCGGAUCCUUCUCGUGGAGUCAUUGCAUGCUGACUGCCAAGAGCAGCUGAGCGUCGGUGCCAGGCAUCAGCGUGGCACAGGGAAGUCCAUCAGGUCGGGGACAGAAAGCGGGAGGCCUCUUCCUAGUCUCCCGGGUCCUUAGCAGUGUGGAGGGUCCGUGACCGACCGUAUGAGCAGGGCGUGGAGCCGUGGACUUUCCCAGCCUGUGCUUUCUGCUUGCCUUACUUGACCCCGGUGGGCUCAACAAAGAAGUGGGCACCAUUCCCUUAGCCAGAUGCAAACUCUACUCACCCAAGGUCGGCAGUGCAACAGAGACUACCAAGCACUCUGUUUUCCUACCCAAAAAAAGGGGAAAUGGAGAGAGAGCUUAGGGGUUUUAAAGAAACUGUGUCCUACUCUGUCCAUUCAAACCAACACCUCACUUGGCGAUGAGGUUAAACUCUGUGGAUGUCUUAGUCCACGCGGGUUUCACCGUGAGAGUAAGAUCUGUCCAACACAAUAAAAUUCCUCCUCUCUUCUU